UCCAGCCAAUGGCGGCGGCAGCGGCGGACGGCAAGCCGGAAGGCUCAAGCCGCGCAGGGGCCGCGCCGCUCCGGUCCAGCGGUCCUGGAGGGGCGAAGGGGUGUCGCCGUCGUCCUCCCCGCCGCUCCCGCCGUUCCGAGCUCCUUCUCCCUGCUCAGCUAAGCUCCCGGCAACUGGUCCUGAGGACACUGUCCACCGUGCAUUGCUCCCCAGCUCCAUAGAGCUGUCCUGGCACCUGCUCUUCCCGAGUGCCAUGGCAGUCCUGGCUUGACGAUGUAGGGAGAAGAAAACUCCCCUGCCCAACCUGGAGGAGGAGUUGAUGGUGGAAGCAUGACAUCUACUCAAGAAUGAGGAAGAUGGCCUUUUCCCUAUCCCUACAUUUCCUUUGAUUAUAAAACUGUAUCCCACUAAGUUCUCAGGGUGAAGCACCCUCUCACCCACCCACUUGUGAGUCUCACAAGUGUCCCUAUUCUAAUAAAUCAGUUCUUAUUUAC